AUCUAGCUGACAAGUCCCAAAUAGGACGAAACGCGCGUCAGACUGGAU
rfam:Schistosoma curassoni strain Dakar, Senegal genome assembly, scaffold: SCTD_scaffold0000996